GACGAACGCUGGCGGCGUGCUUAACACAUGCAAGUCGAACGGAAAGGCCCUGCUUUUGUGGGGUGCUCGAGUGGCGAACGGGUGAGUAACACGUGAGUAACCUGCCCUUGACUUUGGGAUAACUUCAGGAAACUGGGGCUAAUACCGGAUAGGAGCUCCUGCUGCAUGGUGGGGGUGGGAAAGUUUCGGCGGUUGGGGAUGGACUCGCGGCUGAUCAGCGUGUUGGUGGGGUAGUGGCUUACCAAGGCUUUGACGGGUAGCCGGCCUGAGAGGGUGACCGGCCACAUUGGGACUGAGAUACGGCCCAGACUCCUACGGGAGGCAGCAGUGGGGAAUAUUGCACAAUGGGCGGAAGCCGUAUGCAGCAACGCCGCGUGCGGGAUGACGGCCUUCGGGUUGUAACCCGCUUUCGCCUGUGACGAAGCGUGAGUGACGGUAAUGGGUAAAGAAGCACCGGCUAACUACGUG
rnacentral:rRNA from 1 species